UACGGGGGGGGCAAGCGUUGUUCGGAAUUACUGGGCGUAAAGGGCUCGUAGGUGGCCAACUAAGUCAUACAUGAAAUCCCUCGGCUUAACCGGGGAACUGCGCCUGAUACUGGUUGGCUUGAGUUUGGGAGAGGGACGCGGAAUUCCAGGUGUAGCGGUGAAAUGCGUAGAUAUCUGGAGGAACACCGGUGGCGAAGGCGGCGUCCUGGACCAAUACUGACACUGAGGAGCGAAAGCCAGGGGAGCAAACGGG
rnacentral:rRNA from 1 species